rnacentral:rRNA from 1 species
GAUGAACGCUGGCGGCGUGCCUAAUACAUGCAAGUCGAGCGAACAGACGAGGAGCUUGCUCCUCUGACGUUAGCGGCGGACGGGUGAGUAACACGUGGAUAACCUACCUAUAAGACUGGGAUAACUUCGGGAAACCGGAGCUAAUACCGGAUAAUAUAUUGAACCGCAUGGUUCAAUAGUGAAAGACGGUUUUGCUGUCACUUAUAGAUGGAUCCGCGCCGCAUUAGCUAGUUGGUAAGGUAACGGCUUACCAAGGCAACGAUGCGUAGCCGACCUGAGAGGGUGAUCGGCCACACUGGGACUGAGACACGGUCCAGACUCCUACGGGAGGCAGCAGUAGGGAAUCUUCCGCAAUGGGCGAAAGCCUGACGGAGCAACGCCGCGUGAGUGAUGAAGGUCUUCGGAUCGUAAAGCUCUGUUAUUAGGGAAGAACAAAUGUGUAAGUAACUAUGCACGUCUUGACGGUACCUAAUCAGAAAGCCACGGCUAACUACGUG